GCUGGGCGUGGUGGUGCACGCCUGUAAUCCCAGCUACUCGGGAGGCUGAGGUGGGAGAAUCACUUGAACCCAGGAGGCAAAGGUUGCAGUGAGCAAAGAUUGAGCCACUGAACUCCAGCCUGGGUGACAGAGUGAGAUCCUGUCUCAA
ensembl:misc_RNA Metazoa_SRP Metazoan signal recognition particle RNA